rnacentral:lncRNA from 1 species
AUACUUUGUAUAAAUAAAAUGUCAAACUGGUAUCAUAUUGGCUUUAUUAUUUCACGGAAGAAAAUCCCAAGUGUAAGUUCCUGUCAUCUUAAUAGAAGGUUCUCCAAAUUUCUACUUGACUAACAGUACAAACUUGAAGCAAUUUUUCUUCCAAAUUUUUCUGAAGAUUAUUUAAUAUCUAUUUGGUAAGUGUAAAGAUAUACAUACUGACUGGGAUGUAAUAGACACUUAUUGUUCAAUGACUGUUUUGAUUUCUCAGUGUAAUGUCAUACAGUAAAAUGACAAUGUUCCAUUUGAGUUUGUAACAAUUUAAUUUUGUAUUUAUUGAUAUUAAGUAUAUAAAUACUAUAAAGACAUAGU